UCCGGCGGUGCGCGUCCAUAUUCCUCUGAUGAUGAAAUUCGCGUCAUGCGCACUGUAAACUGAUCGAGUAUGCGUAAAAACUGAAGUAUACUUGUGGAAACAGAGGUGGAAGCUGUUGCUGUUUCGGCCUGAAAGUUUCAUUAUGGAGACUUUAUUGUGCGAAUGCAACUUGUGUGAUCAGUACAGAAGUCACGUUUACAAGGAACUAAUCUCUGGAUUUGCCAAAGUUUGCCAGAAAAGUGUCCUGGUGUAGUAUUUCUUGGCCAGAAAAAGCUACAUGUCUUCCUCUUCAUGUCUUCCCAUAAUUCCCCUCCUUAUCCUCCUUUUGUAUUUCCUGAGGUCAGGAAUCUGAGUUACUGAAUUACUCUGUGUGUGCUUUUGCCCUUAUAUUAUUUGAUGAUAUUUUGAUGACAAACCGGGAUGACGGAUAACCUGAAAGUGUCUGUGCUGAUUGUGUGUGUGUGUGUGUGUGCACAAGUUCUGCUGUUUUAUAUGUGUUAAUUAACCAAUGAUGAAUGUCUUUAUCAAUAGUUGGUCAGUCAAAUCAGUCAAAAGAAAGACAUA